CUAUACAUGCAGUCGAGCGGACAGAAGGGAGCUUGCUCCCGGAUGUUAGCGGCGGACGGGUGAGUAACACGUGGGUAACCUGCCUGUAAGACUGGGAUAACUCCGGGAAACCGGAGCUAAUACCGGAUAGUUCCUUGAACCGCAUGGUUCAAGGAUGAAAGACGGUUUCGGCUGUCACUUACAGAUGGACCCGCGGCGCAUUAGCUAGUUGGUGAGGUAACGGCUCACCAAGGCGACGAUGCGUAGCCGACCUGAGAGGGUGAUCGGCCACACUGGGACUGAGACACGGCCCAGACUCCUACGGGAGGCAGCAGUAGGGAAUCUUCCGCAAUGGACGAAAGUCUGACGGAGCAACGCCGCGUGAGUGAUGAAGGUUUUCGGAUCGUAAAGCUCUGUUGUUAGGGAAGAACAAGUGCAAGAGUAACUGCUUGCACCUUGACGGUACCUAACCAGAAAGCCACGGCUAACUACGUGCCAGCAGCCGCGGUAAUACGUAGGUGGCAAGCGUUGUCCGGAAUUAUUGGGCGUAAAGGGCUCGCAGGCGGUUUCUUAAGUCUGAUGUGAAAGCCCCCGGCUCAACCGGGGAGGGUCAUUGGAAACUGGGAAACUUGAGUGCAGAAGAGGAGAGUGGAAUUCCACGUGUAGCGGUGAAAUGCGUAGAGAUGUGGAGGAACACCAGUGGCGAAGGCGACUCUCUGGUCUGUAACUGACGCUGAGGAGCGAAAGCGUGGGGAGCGAACAGGAUUAG
rnacentral:rRNA from 1 species